CCGUCUUGAAACACGGACCAAGGAGUCUAGCAUGUGCGCGAGUCAUCGGGAGCUCGUAGACCCGGAGGCGCAACGAAAGUGAACAGCGCCGGCCUCGCGCCGGCCGCAGGGAAGAUGGCCCGCGGACUCGUCCGCGGGUCCGCACUCCCGAGGCGUUUCGAGAAAUGCCUCAGCUGCGAUUAUCGAGACGCACUGAGAGCGCACACGCUGGGACCCGAAAGAUGGUGAACUAUGCCCGGUCAGGUCGAAGUCAGGGGAAUA
rnacentral:rRNA from 1 species